ACAUAUAUAGUUUGGGCAGAUACAUGUUUUUUAGGUGAACUACUGUGGAUAUUAUUUUUUUGCGGGUUGAACUACUGCGGAUACUAGCCAGCCUGAACCAUGUACAAGCGGACCACAACAUAUGUCACUUGACAGGACAAUAGUAUAUUUGCUAGGUUUAGCCAUGUUCAGGGAACUGAACUUUAGAGUGCAUUACUGAGGGGUAGAAACAACAUCUGAAUCUACUUUCGAAUAAUUAUCCAUUUACUGUGCGUAUGUAGCUAGGUUACUCUCGCCUUUUGGUCUGUUUGGACAUCAUCCAGUUUCACUUAUUUCCAUCUGAACUGCUAUUCUGAUAUAAUUAUAAAUAGUAAUGGAACCCAGCUCCCAUUUGGUAGGCAUAUGCAAAAAAAAAAAAUCCCUGUAACUCUGAACUGCUUAUGUGAUAUAUGCAUAGACUGGGCAAAAACCCUGGUCAAAUUGAAGAUUUAAUGACAGUGGCACUCGUAUGAAUUUAUGCAUGUAUACAUCUGUCUAAUUAAUCAGUUUUGUAAAUAGAUAAUAUAUAAAAUAUUUCCUGAAGAGAUGUCAUGAUCGUCCUAAUUAAAUGCAAUUUCUAGGUUUUUUCCAUGCGUAAGCCUAUAACAAGCGAACUUUUUUCAAGCAUUUGGCAAUCCACAGGCCACAGCUCAAACUUGCUGAACACGCCUAGUUAGGGAUCAAGGCCUCUCUUACUCCAAACAACAUGCCGCCCAAGUCGAAGGCGUCGAGUAAUAAAGGUCCUAUGCCUGGACUGGAAACUUAUGCGCAAGGGAAACCACCAGCGCCUGUGCAGAAACCACCUGCUUCUAAUGGUGAAAAGAAGAAAGAUAAAGCACUAAGAAACAAGCCGGAUAAAGAUGGCAAGGAUACAAGUACUUCCAAUUAAUCGGCAAAUUCAGGAUCCAGAUAUAAAAUAAUUCUCUUGUUUGGAUUUAUAUCGAUGCCGAAGAAGUAUGAUAUGAGAAUCUACUGCAGACUUGCUAGUAUUUAUUAGUAAGUGUUAAGAGGUGGAAAGGAAAUAUGGAUCAAUCUAUUACGUGUUAGUAGUUUGUACGUGCUUGCUUUGGUGCAUUUGUACACUUUCCUAAGUUCAUAUGUUGGUCUCGUAUUCACAUGUAUUAAUAAAUUGGGAUUGUAUUGA